rnacentral:rRNA from 1 species
UACGAAGGGGGCUAGCGUUGUUCGGAAUUACUGGGCGUAAAGCGCGCGCAGGCGGCUAUCCAAGUCAGUGAUGAAAGCCCGGAGCUCAACUCCGGAACUGCCAUUGAAACUGUUUAGCUUGAGGAUGAGAGAGGUGAGUGGAAUUCCCAGUGUAGAGGUGAAAUUCGUAGAUAUUGGGAAGAACACCGGUGGCGAAGGCGGCUCACUGGCUCAUUACUGACGCUCAGGCGCGAUAGCGUGGGGAUCAAACAGG